UUACAGAGAUGGAAUAAUACUUAUUAUUAAUUUACUCGUUUUUCUUACCUUUUGUAUAAUGGUUGAAUUAAAAUUUAAUUAUAUAAUUAUUCCCGAAUUAAGAAGAGCUAAUUAAUAACAUUUUUUAGAAUAUAAAAAUUAUGUAGAAUUAUGGUUUUAAGAUUAUUAAUUAGGGGUGAAAGGCCUGUCAAUUCUUAGGAUAUCUGGAAGUCUUUUAAAAGCAUUUAGUGCUGUAAAGUUAGAUAUAAAGUGUUUAGAUUUUAUAUCUUUUAGUAUAAAUUUUAUUAUUUUGUUUUCUAGGGUUAAACCCCUUGAUUUAAAAAUAUAUACAAAUUAAUUUAUAUAAGAAUCUAAAAUACUAUAAGACUUUUUUCUUAAGUUAAUUAGAAAAAUUAUAAUGUUCAAAUUAGUAAUAAUUAAAAUAAUUUAAAAUAGUUGUUAUUUUUAUAUAAUAAAUUUUCUUUAAAAUAGAAAAAAGGAACUCGGCAAAUAUAGGCUUGGACUGUUUAACAAAAACAUAGCUAUAAGUUAACAUUUAUAGUUUAACCUGCCCAAUGUGAAAUAAUAUGAAUGGCCGCGGUACUGUGACCGUGCUAAGGUAGCGUAAUCAGUUGGCUUUUAAAUGGAGUCAGGAAUGAAUGGAAUAACCGGGCUUAGCUGUCUCUUUUUUAAUAAUUUGAAUUUACUUUGUAAGUGAGAAAGCUUACUGUUUGAAGAGGGAGGAGAAGACCCUUAGAAUUUUACUUAUAUUGUUUAAUCAUACUGGUUUUGUUGGGGUGACAAAGAAAUAUAUUAAAACUUUCUUUAAAAUACUUGCCGAUUAUAUUAAGUGAGAAUAAAUUACCUGAGGGAUAACAGCAUAAUUCUACAUUUGAGUUUGUGACCUCGAUGUUGGACUAGGAAACUAGCAAGCUAGCCGUUUGCUUUGUGGGUUCUGUUCGAACUGUAAUUCCUACAUGAUCUGAGUUCAGACCGGCGUAAGCCAGGUCAGAUUCUAUCUUCUUAUUUUAUGGCUUCAGUACGAAAGGACCGAGCUGUAUUAUUAUAUAUAAAUUUAUUGACUUGGCAGAA
rnacentral:rRNA from 1 species